AAAACAAAAAAGAAAUUAAACACAAAUAAUCCAACCCAUUAAAAACACAAUUAGGACUACUCUACCUUACUAACCCUGCCCAACCCGAGUCCACUAAGAAAAAAUAAAAUCUGAGUAGGGUUUCCAAAUCCAAAUAGUUUCCAUUACAGCUUCUCCCUCACGCAUCUCUUUGCACAAAAUGGCCAUCAUCACUAAUUUUAGCUUCCGCCUUCUCUUGCUAUGGGUGAUUAAUGUUGUUCCUCCCAGUUCAUGGAAUCCUUUUGUUAUCAACUUGCAUAAGUGAAUACUGGUUCUUUUCUCUUUCUUAGCUUGAGCUCCUUCAUCAAUUUGAUUUGUUGUCUCUUCUCUUGAUCUAGCUGUGUUCUCCGGUUAAUGGGAUUAUAACCUUUUUGUACUUUUUUGAGGGAUCCAGUUAGCUGGGAUCUGCUGUCAUAUCUGAAUCUGAGUAUGAGUUACGAUCGUUGAUGUUUCACUUGGGCUCUUUUUUAGAGAUCCAGAGAAAGAGGAGAGAGUUAAAGUGACCAUUUCACACAGUUAAAUAACUGCACCUGCUGUAAGACAUUGUAAGAAAAGAUCAAGUGCAUUUGUUCAAUAUGACUCGAGGUGAAUAUCGUGUAGGUAAGUCCUCAAGUAGGAGCAAGACUGGUAACCGUGGUAAAAUUCCUUCUAUUCCAACUCCAAUUAUUGAACAGGAUGGUAUAAGUUCCAACCCCAGCAAUAUGCCAAUCGAUCAAAUAGUACUGCCAAUCAGUAUACCAUCGGUUGAAACAUUGGGACAAAGAAGUACCCCAGUUAUUCCGGAGACAUGUACGCCACCUAACUAAAGUAGCCCAAUAGUCCAAAGUAUGAAUACUCAAAGAACCCCACCAGUUGAGGGAACAUCUACUGGGAGAAAUAUAUCUGGUGAAGGUGAUUUCAGUAGUAACCAUGCUCGGACUCUUAUUUUUCUAACUUCUUCAGGGUUGAAACCUUCUUUAAAAUGCUCCAGUUCCAUGACAUUAUCCUUCAAAAAUGAAGUUGAUGCCAAUGGGAUCAAUUGGAAAGGUGUCUCCAAAGAUGUCAAAGAUGGUUAUUUUGGAAAAUUCAAGGUUUAUUUUCUUAGCGUCCAAUCUUUAUAUUAGUUUUAGAAUUAUAAACUCAAUUUUAUAAAUUUGAC